ACCAAAAACUGACCAAAUCUUCAAAUUGGGAAACCUUAUAAUUCAACUAAGUUUAUUAUUUGAUUAUUAUCUCAUCUUACAAAAUAAAAAGGCUAGAUAGAAACAUAACAUAAGAAUAUAAGAUAGGGCAACAUUAAUUGAGUAUCAUGUGCCACACUAACACCUCUUUUUAACUCUUAUUUUCUCUCUCUUCCUCUUCGUCCUUCUCUCUCUCUCUUUCUGUCACUCCACGCUCAGAUUUGCAAACAAUGGCUGAACCUUCCAAGGUCAUCCAUGUACGAAACGUGGGGCAUGAGAUAUCCGAAAAUGAUUUGCUUCAGCUCUUUCAGCCUUUUGGAGUCAUAACAAAGCUUGUGAUGUUGCGUGCAAAAAAUCAGGUUUCCUUUUUAAAUUCAUGCCUCAAAAUGAGACUUUUGGUUUUCCUUCAGAAAUUUAAGGGUGCUUUAUUUUAUCUUUUUUUUGUUAAUCUGCUACUUAUUUCAGUCUCUUGUCCAAAUGCAAUAUGUUACUUCAGCCAUUAAUGCUUUACAAUUUUAUGCAAAUGUUCAGCCAACCAUAAGGGGGAGGAAUGUUUAUGUCCAGUUUUCCUCACAUCAAGAACUAACAUCAAUGGAUCAAAAUCAAGGGCGUGGAGAUGAGGAUGGCAUUUUAGAGUUCUCAUGUUUAAGUUAAAAGUUAUUACUGAAAGUUCAUGGUGUCAAUCGAUAAUUGAUCCAUGUAACGACUCAUAUGGUAGUAUAUAUUUUGAUAAAUAGACUUAUGAAUAAGUUAUCUGUGCUUGGAUACAUGGUUACAUUAGUGCUUGUUUUGAGUGUUUUAAAAUAUGCUUCUUAAGAAGCUAGAUAAUUUAUUGUGUAGUGGAAUGUAGCUUCUGUUUCUAUA